GCGGGAUAGCUCAGUUGGUUAGAGCGUCGGAUUCAUAACCCGGAGGUCUCGAGUUCAAUUCUCGAUCCCGCUA
rnacentral:tRNA from 2 species